GAGGGAGUAGCUCAGUUGGUUAGAGUGCUGGUUUGUCACGCCAGCGGCCGCGGGUUCAAGUCCCGUCUUCUUCA
rnacentral:tRNA from 1 species